GGAUCAGAAGCCAAAUGCUUCGUUUACUCGCAAAGCGUCAGUGAACUACACAAAGACACCUUCUCGUGAAUCUUUGUAAAACAAGAGGUAAAAUAGCUCACUUCUUGACUUCCGCGGAUCAAAUUUCUGUUGUCCAGCAACACAAACAGAAGACAGAAGACAGGGAAAGAUGAAGAACAAAAGCAGCUAAUUAAAGAAUGUUGUACACAGCCAGAAGAAACUGAGUGAAUCCCCCUCUUCUACCUCAGUGCCUCUGAUGUUGAUAAUUUAAACAAUCCAUUGGCUGUAGACAACAAUCCUUAGCUAAAGCCUUGUAACCCAGCUGUUGGUGGGCUUGCAAAGUCCCAGCUCGUACCUGAAGUGGACGCAUUAGGUGGUGAAAUUGGAAAGGUAGCUGACAGUUUGAUACCAAACUGAAAUAGUUGUUUUAUAUGGCUAAUAUAUCGGAACAUCGCAAAUGGAUGUACAACUAAUUGAUGCCAAGAAAGAGGGGGGUACACUGAUGAGUUCAUAGCAGGUAUUUUUAAAGAUAUUUUCUUAAUCAGACUAAAGAGCAAGAUCAAGGAUCUGGAGUCAGAAAAUGAGCUUCUCCACACUCAAAGAGUAGUUGUAGAGCAUGUAGCAAACUCAAACCAAGCAGAUUCAGCAUUAAAGCAAAUUGAAAACCGAUACCAAGUUCAUGAAGAUGUGAAGACAGAGGAAGUGCAACAAGUGACAAAAGUGGAGCAACAAAUAAUAAAGAUAGGCAGCAUGCAAGUAGUAGAAACAUAUGAGAAGAAGAAAGAAGAAAGUAGCACAAAAGAUAUCUAAGGUAAGCUGAAUAGGAGGAAGGGAAGCAAGAAAGAAAAUGAGGGAUCAAGAUUCGGUCACUUCUCACUUCCAUGGAGAACUGUUGUUACUCUACAACUUGAGAGUGCGAGGCCUCCCUCCUUUGUAUAUAAUGUCUUGAAGAGGUUCUUAUCUGAAGAGACAGCUGAAUCAAUCAAAGGCUUGACUAAGAAGGACACUAGAAACACUGAUGAUUGAACAGGCUGCUUCCAUACUUCAAAUAUGUCCUGGGAACUUGUGUCUUUUCUGUUUAUACAUUUAGAAUUAAGAGACUAAUAGAAAUGCCAUAUUUUGACUUGUUUUAAAUUUUCAACUGUAUAUCGAUGAAUGAAUUCUCUUCAAGCAUAUGAAAUGUGUAUUUUAUGUUUUUCAGCAAA